GGAUGUGAGGGUGAUCUGGCUGUGACAUCUGUCACCCCAUUGAUCUCCAGGGUUGAUCUGGUUGGCGAGGCGGGUGUCCCCUUCUUCCCUCUCCGCUACAUGUGCGUCCCUCCCAAAGCUACGAGCUUGGUGGAAGAGGACGACCUUCUCCCAUCGAAAAGGACUGUUCAUCAGUCAAGGGUGUAUGAGUAGCUGAGCUCCCCUGCUAGAACUUCCAAACAAGCUCUCAAGUGAGGUGGUCUAUGGAGAAAUAAUGAAAGAAAUAGGGUCAUUUAGCAUCUAUCACUACCCAAAUGGCUUUUAACAAGUUCUUUAGCCUUUCUGU
rnacentral:snRNA from 1 species